AUUGAACGCUGGCGGCAGGCCUAACACAUGCAAGUCGAGCGGAUGAAGGGAGCUUGCUCCUGGAUUCAGCGGCGGACGGGUGAGUAAUGCCUAGGAAUCUGCCUGGUUGUGGGGGAUAACGUCCGGAAACGGGCGCUAAUACCGCAUACGUCCUGAGGGAGAAAGUGGGGGAUCUUCGGACCUCACGCUAUCAGAUGAGCCUAGGUCGGAUUAGCUAGUUGGUGGGGUAAAGGCCUACCAAGGCGACGAUCCGUAACUGGUCUGAGAGGAUGAUCAGUCACACUGGAACUGAGACACGGUCCAGACUCCUACGGGAGGCAGCAGUGGGGAAUAUUGGACAAAGGGCGAAAGCCUGAUCCAGCCAUGCCGCGUGUGUGAAGAAGGUCUUCGGAUUGUAAAGCACUUUAAGUUGGGAGGAAGGGCAGUAAGUUAAUACCUUGCUGUUUUGACGUUACCAACAGAAUAAGCACCGGCUAACUUCGUG
rnacentral:rRNA from 1 species